rnacentral:tRNA from 20 species
AGGGGCAUAGUUUCAAUGGUAAAACAUCGGUCUCCAAAACCGCAGUUGGGAGUUCGAGUCUCUCUGCCCCUG